GUGAAGGGGAGAUGUUUGGGUCUGGUAGUGAUAGUGGGCAGAAUCAUACUGGGGUUGCAGGUGCUGUUUUGAUGCCAACACGUUUUGUAUGGCCUUAUGGGGGAAGAAGAGUGUUGCUCAGUGGCUCUUUCACUAGGUGGCAAGAUCACAUAACAAUGUCACCCAUGGAGGGCUGCCCAACUGUGUUUCAGGUUGUCUGCAACUUAGUACCAGGAUAUCACCAGUACAAGUUCUUUGUUGAUGGAGAAUGGUGUCAUGAUGAGCGUCAGCCAGUUGUAAGUGGAAAUUAUGGCUUAGUCAACACAAUUUUUUUGCCCAGGGAGUCAGAUACUAUUCCUGAACUUCUUAGUCCCGAUGUGCCCGCUGGAUCUAAUAUGGAUGUCGAUAAUGAUUUUCUUCGACUGGAUGCAGUUCCACAGAUAUCACAGGCUGAAAUAGAGUUAUCACGUCAACGUAUAUCUGCAUUUUUGUCUACACAUACUGCCUACGAGUUACUCCCAGAGUCUGGCAAGGUGAUUGCCUUGGAUGUAAAUCUUCCAGUAAAACAAGCUUUUCAUGUUCUCUAUGAGCAGGGAAUCUCUGUUGCUCCUUUGUGGGAUUUUUU
rnacentral:misc_RNA from 1 species